rnacentral:rRNA from 1 species
AUUGAACGCUGGCGGCAUGCUUUACACAUGCAAGUCGAACGGUAACAGGGAGCUUGCUCCGCUGACGAGUGGCGAACGGGUGAGUAAUGCGUCGGAACGUGCCGAGUAGUGGGGGAUAACGCAUCGAAAGGUGUGCUAAUACCGCAUACGAACUGAGGUUGAAAGUGGGGGACCUUCGGGCCUCACGCUAUUCGAGCGGCCGACGUCUGAUUAGCUAGUUGGUGAGGUAAAGGCUCACCAAGGCGACGAUCAGUAGCGGGUCUGAGAGGAUGAUCCGCCACACUGAGACCGAGACACGGCCCAGACUCCUACGGGAGGCAGCAGUGGGGAACUUUGGACAAUGGGCGCAAGCCUGAUCCAGCCAUGCCGCGUGUCUGAAGAAGGCCUUCGGGUUGUAAAGGACUUUUGUCCGGGAGCAAAUGCUGGUGGCUAACAUCCACCGGAGCUGAGAGUACCGGAAGAAUAAGCACCGGCUAACUACGUGCCAGCCGCCGCAGUAACAC